UACAGAGGUCCCGAGCGUUGUUCGGAUUCACUGGGCGUAAAGGGUGCGCAGGUGGGUUGGCAAGUUUGAUGUGAAAGCCCCGGGCUUAACCCGGGAAUGGCAUUGAAUACUGCUGAUCUGGAGGAUUGGAGGGGGGACUGGAAUUCUUGGUGUAGCAGUGAAAUGCGUAGAUAUCAAGAGGAACACCGGUGGCGAAGGCGGGUCUCUGGGCCGAUAUUGACGCUGAGGAGCGAAAGCGUGGGGAGCGAACAGG
rnacentral:rRNA from 1 species